rnacentral:rRNA from 1 species
AGCGAACGCUGGCGGCAGGCCUAACACAUGCAAGUCGAACGAACCUUUCGGGGUUAGUGGCGGACGGGUGAGUAACACGUGGGAACGUGCCUUUAGGUUCGGUAUCACUCAGGGAAACUUGUGCUAAUACCGAAUGUGCCCUUCGGGGGAAAGAUUUAUUGCCUUUUGAGCGGCCCGCGUCUGUUUAGCUAGUUGGUUGAGGUAAUGGCUCAGCAAGGCGACGAUCAGUAGCUGGGCUGAGAGGAUGAUCAGCCACAUUGGGACUGAGACACGGACCAAAAUCCGACGGGAGGCAGCAGUGGGGAAUCUUGCGCAAGGAGCGAAAGCCUGACGCAGCCAUGCCGGGGGAAUGAUGAAGGUGUUAGGAUUGUAAAAUUCUUUCAGCGGGGACGAUAAUGACGGUACCCGGAGAAGAAGCCCCGGCUAACUUCGUG